UACCAGCACCCCGAGUGGUCGGGACGAUUAUUGGGCCUAAAGCAUCCGUAGCCGGUUCUGCAAGUCCCCCGUUAAAUCCAGCUGCUCAACAGAUGGGCCGCGGAGGAUACUCCAGAGCUAGGAGGCAGGAGAGGCAAGCGGUACUCAGUGGGUAGGGGUAAAAUCCGUUGAUCCAUUGAAGACCACCAGUGGCGAAGGCGGCUUGCCAGAAUGCGCUCGACGGUGAGGGAUGAAAGCUGGGG
rnacentral:rRNA from 1 species